AGACGUGUGUAUAGGUCAGAUUUUGGUCUGCGAAUCCAAACCCAAGCUUCAGCAAAUCAUUUCUUCUGCUCUUUGAUAUCGAAAAGAGAUUUUUGGCACUUGGGUUUCUUCUUUGCUUUUGAGUUCCAUUAGCGGUUCGUUUCUUGCAGCUAAAGCUUUCCUGGUUUUACUCUCUCUCUCUCUCUCUCUGUGGAUCCGGUUUUAUUACCAUCACUAUUCCUGUUCUUUCACAACGAACAAGAUCCGAUAUCGAAAGGAAAGAAAGAAAAUUUUACACACUCUUGAAGCUAGGCUACUCCAUUUAUAUCCAUCACAGAUCAGUCUCGCUGGGCCAUUUUCAAUAUUUGCAAAUUGCAAAAUGAUUAAGCAUGGAGAUAGUUAUUGUCAUAGCCGCAUAGGGGUCAAAGAUCAGUGAGUUCACUGUCGAACCUAUUGCCCAUCAGUUGGGGUUACCUCUUUUAAAUACAAAAGUAAUUUUAGAGAUGCUGACAGCCCAAGUUCAGAAUUUGAAGUAUGCUAAAAAAAUAUAAGCUUCAGCAUCCCAUUGAUGAGGCUAAGAGAAUCGGUGAAGAAAUUGAAGCUGAUGUUCUCAACCGGCUGAGCAGAGUAAAUAGGAUCUUUACGUUGAAUCUUUUGAGAAGUGAAGGCCAAGCAAAUGGCAAGCGGUUCAGUGGCCAGUUUCCAGAUUUGGGAUCCCUCCAUUGGAUCAGCAGGAAAGCCAAGAAGAUGGCCUCGGAAGUUGCUGGUGAAAUUCACUCUGCAGGGUGGUUGCAGAAGGUUUUUUACCCUCCCAUUCUACAAAGUGUUUUUGAAGUCAAAGGUUAUGCGGCUUUUCAAUCAAGAACGCUCACGUUGAACAUAAUUAUAGAGGCUUUGAGGAACCCAAUGUAUGGUAUGGGUGGGGUAGGAAAGAGUAUGCUCUUUAUAGAGAUUGCUACACAAGCAAAUGAGAAAAUGCAAUUCGCUAAAGCCAUCAUAGUUGCUGCAUCCUAGAAUCCAAGCCAUAAAAACAUUCAACAAGAAAUUGCAGGAAAGCUAAGAUAAGAACUACAAAAGAAAACUAUACCUGCAAAAGCAAAUUGGCUACAACACCAGUCAAGGCAAGGAAUAAAAAUCCUUGUAAUUUUGGAUGAUAUUUGAGAAAAACUUGAGUUAGAGGAUAUUGGAAUAUCUUUUGAGAAUGAUUGCAAAGGAUGUAAGAUAUUACUUACCUCGAGAUCUCAAAAAUGUGUUAUACAAUGAUAUCAGUGUUGAGCAUAAUUUCUUAGUGGGAGUUUUAUCUAGGAUGGAAGCAUAGAAUUUUUUCAAUACAUUAGCGAGUGACAUAAGAAAUACGGUGGUUGUAUUGAUUCAAAAUCUCAAGAUCUAUUGUUUGUUGUUGGAUUAAAAUGCAUGACGUCAUUCGUGACGUAACGAUAUCAACCCCAUCCAAAGAUAGGCAUGUGUAUAAUCUUAGAAACAUUGCUGAGUUGGAUGAAUGCUUCAAUGAUAGAAGAUUCAAAGAUGCAGUUUUCGCUAUCAGAAAUUGACCAUGAUUGUCAGCUUCGCUUGGAAUUUCUAUAAUUUUGCAUGAGAUAUAAAAGUGUAAGUUGUUGGAAUAUUUUUAUGCAUUAUCAAAAUAUGGAAGUCCCAAAUCAUUUCUUUGAAGAAAUGAAGAAGUUAGAGUUUUGGAGUUGAAUUCUCUAUGUUUAAAAACCAUUAGCUGCAUUUUUUAGUUUCUUUCAAAAUCUUCAAAUAUUAUGUUUGUGAUACUGUGAUAUGGGAGAUAUAGUUAUAAUUGGAGAGUUGAAGAAUUCAAAAUUCUUGACCCUUCAGGAUCUUUUAUUGAAGAGCUUACCAAAACAAGUAGAUCAACUUAAUUGUCUACAAUUGUUAGAUUUGAAGUAUUGUUCCAAACAUUAACUUAUCCAACCCCAUAUCGGAUCGAAUUUGACAAGUUUACAAGAGUUAACUACUUGAAUAUGCAAGGGAGUUUUUAGAGACUAGAAUGCGAAAGAAGAUGCUGGUGAAAGAAGUAAUGCAAGUCUUAUCGAGUUAAAGAUUUGCAUAAACUUGACACUUUACAUUUACAUGUACCAGAUGCCAGCAUUCUGCCUAAAGACAUUUUUUGUCAGGUACAUUGAUAUUGGAAUUUCUAGAAAGUUGAACCUCAAUCUCAAUGAAAAUGAUGAAUUCAACAAGAAUGGUCCUGAAACAUACUGAAAAAGUCCAAAGUGUUGUAUUUAUGUGGAUUAGGGGGUUUGAACAAUGUUUUUCAUGAAUUUGAGGGGGAAGUUUUUCAAAAUUGAAGCAUCUCUACUUCCAAAAUAAUAUUGGAAUUUGAUAUAUUGUCAGCUCGAUGGAAGAUAUUCAUACUUCUAGUACAUUUGUAAGUUUGGAGCUUUUGCAUCUCCAAAAGUUAAUGGAUCUCAAAAAGAUAUGUCUUGAACACUUUCAGAGAACUCUUUUGGUAAAUUAAAAGAUAUAGAAGUGGAUGAGUGUGAUAAACUGAAGAACCUAUUUUCAUUUUCUGUUGGUAAAUGCCUUGCCUUUUGCAACUUGAAAAGAUUAAAGUGACCAGCUGCAAAAUGAUGGGGGAGCUAAUUACCUAUGAAAGCGAAGAUGAUUCUCAAAUAAUUAGUGAUGAAACUGUCACAAGAUUCAAUUUCCUCAAUUCCGCACCUUGAAGCUGUGUUUUCUAGCAAAACUUCUACAUUUCUACACUCUGAGUAGAAACAAUUUGCACAAACCAAAGGGAAGGCAAGUAGUUGAUUGCAGAUUCUGCAGUAUCCUUUCUUAAUGAAAAGUGGCAAUGGCUUGAAAUUGACCAGCCCAUCUACCCAGGGCAUUGGCCUAGGAAUUGUAACUCUGGUCACAUGUCCGAAGCUGAAAAGUUCUUCCCUGAAUGAGGUAUGGCAUGGUCAAUCUGAAGGCCUACCUGGUGAUUAAGAACCUGCAUGCAUAUUUUCAGGUUUGAGAGGAAUGACACUAUCCCAACUGGCCAAGCUGAUGCACAUGUGGGAUGAGAACUACCAAACAGACAUAGCCUUCCUGGAUUUGAUGAGUCCCAGAGUAGUCUAAUGUGACCUAUUAAAGAAUUUAGUGUCAUCCUGGAUAUCUAUCCAAAACUUAAAAUCUCUUCUAGUGUUGAGUUCCUAUGGCAUGUUAAAUCUAUUGACUUCCUCAUUAGCUAAAAGUCUGAUGCAGCUGAGACUAAUGGGCAUUAAUGGAUGCGAGAACAUAACCAAAAUAAUUACCACUGAAGGAAGUGAAACGGGAGGUGAAAUUGUUUUUAACCAAUCAGUAGCUUUGGAAUGUUGCAAUUUACCAAGCCUUGCAAGCUUCUAUUCAGGAAACUUUACAAUGAAUUUCCAAAACUGAUAUAUGUAGGCAUAUUAGUCACUGCCCUGGGAUGAGUAGUUCCUCUCAUGGAAAGGUAAACACUCCCCAGCUUGAAAAAUUAACCCUACUUGAUGAAGAGUGGGAUGAUGAAGAAGUACAUCAUUUUGAUGAUGGUAUGGAAUGGCCAGGAUAUUGAUGUGUUGAUGAUUGGUGAUAAUGAGAUAUGCAGUAAUAAGAGCAAAAUAGAGUUGAUAGAGGGUGAUAUUAACACCACCAUAAGACAGCUUCGGGAGAAGGACCAAUAUGGUCCCGCAUUACGACAAUUGUUCUCACAACAGAUUACGUAGAAGAUUAUGAAGGUGUACUUUGAAGAGCAGUGGAUCUUCCUUUCCUAUCAAGUUUGCUUGCAUCAAUCCACACUGGUUUUGUUUUAUGAGUUUCUUUGUAAAUGUACACCUACUAUCAAAAGAUAUGAAGCUAUUUUGGGAUAUUCUCUCAUGUAAAUACUUGGUAGUUGGGAGGUUUCUAUAAGUUGAAGUAGCUCCUCUGUAGGGAAGAAGGAAGCUCAUCAUGAUCAUCACUCCCAGCUAAUGACUUUUAAUUCUUUCAUUAUAUUACAACUAUUUUACCCAAAAUAAGUUUUAAUCAUGAGUUGCAUUUGUAUAUAAUUUCGCUUUUAGUACCAUACAAAAAUGUGAAAGUAGAAUUCCAAGUUCUUCUUGGUUGUUU